UACGUAGGGGGCAAGCGUUGUCCGGAUUCAUUGGGCGUAAAGAGCGUGUAGGCGGCCAGGUAGGUCGGUUGUGAAAACUGGAGGCUCAACCUUCAGAGGUCGACCGAAACCAUCUGGCUAGAGUCCGGGAGAGGAGAGUGGAAUUCCCAGUGUAGAGGUGAAAUUCGUAGAUAUUGGGAAGAACACCGGUGGCGAAGGCGGCGACCUGGUCCGAUACUGACGCUGAGGCGCGAAAGCGUGGGGAGCAAACAGG
rnacentral:rRNA from 1 species